rnacentral:lncRNA from 1 species
CCGAAUCAGCAUAGAAAGGAAGAGGUUAAAAAUGUGAAUUCAUAAGAACUACAAAACAAAAAAUCCGGCCGAUUCCUUUUUGUUUGUUAAAUACAUCAAAAGCUCAUGAGAAAAACUAGUAACCUUGCUUGAUCCCCACACAAGUGACCAAGUAGUUUUUCUUGUCCAGCAUCAUGAUGGCAAUGGUAGAAGAAAAAGGCUCAGCAAAAGGGAAAGCUUGCUUCUUUAUAGUAGGUGAUGAUCCAACAGAUGUGAAGGCAUGACUGAAAGUGUGGGCACAGGCAGUAGCAAUAGCAUCUGCCACCAAAUACGGCUCAUGACACCCAAUUUUCUUGAUAGCUAAUACCUACUUCCUUUUUUUGGCGAUUGAGACAGUGUACAUUAUUAUUAUCAUUAUUUUUUCCCACCACUAUGAUCGGUUAUAGAAUGAAUUUCAUUGUAUUUUUCUUUGGAGUUCUUGUCAUAAAUUUUUUCCCAAGGGUGCUGGAUUUUCAGGUUCAUGUGAUGGUAGCUUUUCCUCUGUACAGUGGAAGUGUAUGUACUUUUUUUGGUUUAAACUGCUUACUGGUUUAAUAAGAUUAAGAAGUUGUAAUAACACUUGAACAAGAGAAAUGUGAUGUGUUUCCUCUUCUAUAAAAAGAAAAAAGAGAGAAAU